rnacentral:rRNA from 1 species
CCUACGGGAGGCAGCAGUGGGGAAUAUUGGGCAAUGGGCGCAAGCCUGACCCAGCAACGCCGCGUGAAGGAAGAAGGCUUUCGGGUUGUAAACUUCUUUUAAGAGGGAAGAGCAGAAGACGGUACCUCUUGAAUAAGCCACGGCUAACUACGUGCCAGCAGCCGCGGUAAUACGUAGGUGGCAAGCGUUGUCCGGAUUUACUGGGUGUAAAGGGCGUGUAGCCGGGAUGACAAGUCAGAUGUGAAAUCCCGCGGCUCAACCGCGGAACUGCAUUUGAAACUGUUGGUCUUGAGUAUCGGAGAGGUAAGCGGAAUUCCUAGUGUAGCGGUGAAAUGCGUAGAUAUAAGGAGGAACACCAGUGGCGAAGGCGGCUUGCUGGACGACAACUGACGGUGAGGCGCGAAAGCGUGGGGAGCAAACAGGAUUAGAUACCCUUGUAGUC